ensembl:lncRNA
AGGAGGCAGAGGUACAAGUGGGGUAAUCCAAAAGAGGCGGUCAACAGGCUGGCAAUGGUCAGGAUAUCAAAACAGGCUGUUUUCAGAACUAGGCCAAGACAGUGGCACAGUCGUGAUUAGAAGGCUCAGUAGAGUUGCAAACACAAACAAUACCUCACGAAGACUGACAGCACACACAGAACUCAUAUAGGGGUUGGACGAGACACAUGUGUAAACUAUAAUGGGGAUUGGAUAGGCUACAUUCAAGGCACGAAGGGAAACAGGGCACAUCCCAGACCUCACACAUUCACUUUGACAUAGUUUAGCAGAUGCUUUUAUCCAGAGAAAAAAACGUAUAAAUGCACAACUCGUUCCGGGCAUCAUUAUUAACCAACUGAGCUACAUGGCAGACUUUAAACCAAAACCAGAGAUACAGACAUAAAGCUUGAAAAAAUUAAUAAAUGUCUUACCAAAUGAAAGUCUAUUGGUGACGUUUCCAUAGAGGUACAACACCUUCUUUUUAAUACCUCCUUUCCCUCCUUCAUCCACCACCUUAGUCUCUUUAGUCCCACAGUAGUAGAGUCCCAGGUCAGAUUCAGUGAUGUUCUCAAUCAGUAGAUCAUAGGUGUUGUUAGAGGGGUUCCAUUGCAGUUUGAACCGUGGAAAAGGGUUUUGACUAUUUUCAAACUUCUCCGGAUCUCUAAAACUGUCCUGAAUGCUAAUAACCAGGGUAGGUUGGUGCUCAUGAGAGCAGUUCCUGAACCAUGUGAUGAAUACACCAGUGGAUGUUCUGCAGUCACAGUACAGAGUGAUGUUGUCUCCUGGUUUGACUAACAGAACCACCUCAGAUCCAGAGAUCCCAUCCUGACUGGAGGAAACAGCCCCUA